AUUGAACGCUGGCGGCAGGCCUAACACAUGCAAGUCGAGCGGAUGAAGGGAGCUUGCUCCUGGAUUCAGCGGCGGACGGGUGAGUAAUGCCUAGGAAUCUGCCUGGUAGUGGGGGAUAACGUCCGGAAACGGGCGCUAAUACCGCAUACGUCCUGAGGGAGAAAGUGGGGGAUCUUCGGACCUCACGCUAUCAGAUGAGCCUAGGUCGGAUUAGCUAGUUGGUGGGUAAAGGCCUACCAAGGCGACGAUCCGUAACUGGUCUGAGAGGAUGAUCAGUCACACUGGAACUGAGACACGGUCCAGACUCCUACGGGAGGCAGCAGUGGGGAAUAUUGGACAAUGGGCGAAAGCCUGAUCCAGCCAUGCCGCGUGUGUGAAGAAGGUCUUCGGAUUGUAAAGCACUUUAAGUUGGGAGGAAGGGCAGUAAGUUAAUACCUUGCUGUUUUGACGUUACCAACAGAAUAAGCAUCGGCUAACUUCGUG
rnacentral:rRNA from 1 species